GCCGCGUGGGUGAUGAAGGCCUUCGGGUUGUAAAGCCCUGUGGAGGGGGAAGAAUAAGGGUGACCUAAUACGUCAUCCGAUGACGGUACCCCUUUAGCAAGCACCGGCUAACUCUGUGCCAGCAGCCGCGGUAAGACAGAGGGUGCAAACGUUGUUCGGAAUUACUGGGCGUAAAGCGCGUGUAGGCGGCUUGGCAAGUCGGGUGUGAAAGCCCUGGGCUCAACCUAGGAAGUGCACUCGAAACUGCCUCGCUCGAGUACCGGAGAGGAAAGCGGAAUUCUCGGUGUAGAGGUGAAAUUCGUAGAUAUCGAGAGGAACACCGGUGGCGAAGGCGGCUUUCUGGACGGUCACUGACGCUGAGACGCGAAAGCGUGGGGAGCAAACAGGAUUAGAUACCCUGGUAGUCCACGCCGCAAACGAUGGGUGCUAGGUGUCGCGGGCUUUGAGCCCUGCGGUGCCGUAGCUAACGCAUUUNGCACCCCGGCUGGGGAGUACGGCCGCAAGGCUAAAACUCCAAGGAAUUGACGGUGGCCCGCACAAGCGGUGGAGCAUGUGGUUUAAUUCGACGCAA
rnacentral:rRNA from 1 species